rnacentral:rRNA from 1 species
AGAGUUUGAUCAUGGCUCAGGACGAACGCUGGCGGCGUGCCUAACACAUGCAAGUGGAGCGACGACCCGGGCUUCGGCCCGGUGCAAAGCCGCGAACGGGUGAGUAACACGUGGGUAACCUGCCCUGAUGAUUGGGACAACCCGAGGAAACUCGGGCUAAUACCGAAUGUGCCCUCCGGCCGUAAGGCCUCUGGGGAAAGAAAGCUUCGGCCUCCGCAUUGGGAUGGGCCCGCGGCCCAUUAGCUUGUUGGUGAGGUAACGGCUCACCAAGGCGACGAUGGGUAGCUGGUCUGAGAGGACGAUCAGCCACACUGGGACUGAGACACGGCCCAGACUCCUACGGGAGGCAGCAGUGGGGAAUCUUGCGCAAUGCGCGAAAGCGUGACGCAGCAACGCCGCGUGGGGGAAGAAGGCCUUCGGGUUGUAAACCCCUUUCAGUUGGGACGAAGCUCCGGCGGUGAAUAGCCGUCUGGAGUGACGGUACCUUCAGAAGAAGCCCCGGCUAACUACGUGCCAGCAGCCGCGGUAAUACGUAGGGGGCAAGCGUUGUCCGGAAUCAUUGGGCGUAAAGAGCGUGUAGGCGGCUUGGUAAGUCCGCUGUGAAAGUCCAGGGCUCAACCCUGGAAUGCCGGUGGAAACUGUCAAGCUUGAGUCCGGAAGAGGCGAGUGGAAUUCCUGGUGUAGCGGUGAAAUGCGCAGAUAUCAGGAGGAACACCAAUGGCGAAGGCAGCUCGCUGGGACGGUACUGACGCUGAGGCACGAAAGCGUGGGGAGCAAACAGGAUUAGAUACCCUAGUAGUCC